rnacentral:misc_RNA from 1 species
GAUGAAGAACGUAGCGAAAUGCGAUAAGUAAUGCGAAUUGCAGAAUUCAGUGAAUCAUCGAAUCUUUGAACGCACAUUGCGCCCGCCAGUACUCUGGCGGGCAUGCCUGUCUGAGCGUCAUUUCAACCCUCGCGCCCGGCUUCUGUCGGGGGCGGUGUUGGGGAUCGGCCUCCCGUCUUCCGGGCGGCCGGCCCCUAAAUGGAGUGGCGACCGCGCCGUAGCCUCCUCUGCGUAGUAGUGAAACACUCGCGGGCGGAGAGCGGGGCGGCCCGCCGUAAAACCCCCAACUCUUCUAAGGUUGACCUCAGAUCAGGUAGGAAUACCCGCUGAACUUAAGCAUAUCAAUAAGCGGAGGA